AUUUCUGAGUAAUAUCUCCUAAAAUUUUAAAAAUCUAAAGUAAUAGAUAAAGCUAUAUAUGCAGUAGUAACCAUGACUUUCCUUAAAGGUAGCCAAAUGCCUCGUCAUUUAAUUCGUGACGUGCAGGAAUGGAU
rfam:Brugia pahangi genome assembly, scaffold: BPAG_contig0000073